UGUCUAUUUCGUUUCUCCCAGGCGGCAAGUGUAGGGACUGGCGGCUGGCCUAACAGAGGCUAACCCUAGAGGCCUAGACCACAUGCCCUAGACGGCGAGGCGCACGGCUGGCGACGAGCGGACGCCAUCACACCAGGCGCUCAGCCGGCCAGGCAGUCUACUUGAGUACACGGCCCUCAACACCUCCUUCCUCUCAUUCGGCUUGGGCCGCCUCCGUGUCUUCUAGGACUUUGCCAACAUGACGAGUUUGCCUCUAUGCAAAGCUGGUUAUAUGUCUUGCUUUUGACAAUAAUGAACAAGUGAGAGAUGCUUUCAACCGUGAUGGAAGUAAUUGCACAAUGACAUCUGAAAUGUAGAGAAAGACUGCGUGCAAAAGACCCAAAGUAAUAAGACUUUUUCUCGGACCCUGCGCAAGCGGGAGCUACAUGCAUCGGGCUGCCCUUUUACACUUAGGCUUAACUUGCCCAGGCUUCACAAAACUUCUGGCUCCGCCAGCUGCCCACCAUCGUCAGCUCCUCCGUUUGCCCGAACAACAGCAACUACGAGGCCGGCGCCUCCGCCCGCCCCUAUAACAGCAGCUGCGCGGCCGACGCCUCCAUUUGCCCCCCAACAACAGCAGGUGCGUCGAUGGCGUCUCCAAGGAACCCGCCUCCUUAUGCAACUCCCUGGGCGCCGAGGUAGAGGCAAUCAUGCAAGGAUCUCCUGCUCCAACCUCCUGCUCAGACAUCACGGAGUGGAAGGCUUAACAUAAUUGAUUAUCUGAUGGGGAUGAAGCUAAAUCUUCUGCUGGAAAUGACUUCCCUGCUCUGAGGUGUGCUUUCUUCCUUUUCGUUUUCAUUUUCUGCUUUCAGAUGGUACUGUUCAGUUGGCAAAAUUUGCUUCUGAACUUGCUAGGUUGGCAAUUACUGAAACAGACUGCAAUCGACAGAUGGAGACUGCGAAAUCAUGGUUAUUUGCUAGUAGAACACAUUAGACUUACAAAAAUAUCACUUAGAAUUCAGAAAUGAGAAGGGCCAUGAGUAUGACUGAUAUGAGAGGUAUUGUUUUGUACUUUGAAGAGAAAGAACAUAUAUAAGUUUGAGCAGUGAGUCACUGCCAGGUGGGAGUUUAGUUCCAAGGGUAAUUACGGCUCUUCGUCUUGUUUAUGUAAUUAUCAUAAAUUUCAGAAUAGUAUUGCAUUUUAAUUGGUCCAAUGUGCUCCAGCAAAUGACCCAAACGUUGUGGUAUCUGUAGAAGUGCAUGCUCUAGCCAAUGCAACCAAAAGACCGAUCUGAUGGAAGAGACUAGGCAGCACAUUAUACGUCAACACUCCCCCUCACGUGUGGCUCCCUCAGGCCUAAACAUGGACCGAAAGUGGGCUGCAAUUUAAUUGCACCAGCCGGGUCUUGAACUCGAGACCUCUUGGCUUUGAUACCAUGUAGAAGUGCAUGCUCUAGCCAAUGCAACCAAAAGACCGAUCUAAUGGAAGAGACUAGGCAGCACAUUAUACGUCAACAGUAUCUUUCAAUGGAUUGUUGAUUUUGUGAUGUGCUCGGGAAAUGCCAACCAAGUGUAGAAUCAGAGCCAGUUUUGCUUUUCUUUUAUCUGAUCACUUUCUAGAACUUCUAUACAUUUUAUUGUUGUGUCUCACCGUUGUAAUCUGGUUCCCCUGUAAUGCACUGUUUGUGAUCUUAUAUGUAAACUAGAGCACAUAAUGUUGAAUAAAUUUAGUUUCUGCAACUCCCAUUGCACCAGCCUAGAGAUUCUUGCUUGCAUAUUAUGGGGUAAAAUAAUACUCCCUCCGUUCCACAAUGUAGCGCAUAUAGAUUUUUCUAGAAGUCAAACUUUAUAAACUUUGAUCAAGUUUGUAGAGAAAAUCAUAUACAUCUAGAAUACCAAAUACGUGUGCUUAGAUACAUCACAACACAUACUUUCAUAUUAUAUACAUUUGGUAUUGUAGAUAUAAAUAGUUUUCUCUAUAAACUUGGUCAAAGUUUAUAAAGUUUGACUUUGUAGAAAAUCUAUAUGCGCUACAUUAUGGAACGGAGGGAGUAUCAAAUAAAAGAAUCACAUUGUGCAAUGGUUUUUGAAUCUUUUCUGUGUAGCAGCCUAAUUUUCUUCAUGACUUUUUGUCAACUUUUUCAUUCCCUGGACAUGGCAUUAAUGUUCAUGUAGUCCUUUGAGAAAAAUGGUAAAAUAAGAAUGAAGAGUGUUAUUCUGUUUUAUCUCCAGAUAAUCUGUUUAGCCUCUUUAAUGUAAUCAGCCAGUGGAUCUUUUCUUUCGUUGUAUCUCCAGUGGGCAUCUUUCAACAACACAUCUGUGUUAGUUUAGUUUAUAUUCUUUCUUAUUUUUCUAUUGCAACCUGAUGUUAUUUUUCAAGGAUGGAUUGAACUGAAUACUGCUAAUAUUUUUUCAGUAUGUCAGAGUUUCUGAAUGCUCGCUGUAUCAUGGAUGUACUAGCAGAGAUGCUGAGUGCUUUAGACCUUGAAAACAGAGUGGUACAAAAUUCCAUCAGCCUGAUUUUAAUUCAACCUGCACAAAAUUAUGGACCUCUUAUCUCUAAAAAAUUGCAACCAACAGUUGAACAUGAUAUCCUGAUUUGACAUUUUAUGAUUUAUGAAAGAUAAUUCAUGUUCUCUUUUGGAAAUAUGUCCUGAGCGGUUUUAACUUCAGAUAUAACCUUGUUUUGAUCGCAUAAACUGAUUGUACUUCAAAAUAUGCUUUUGUACUACCACACAACAAAUUUUCCCUCAGCCUGUAGCUCUUUAAUAUGCAUAGAACUAUGUUAUCGGGUAUCUUCUCUAGUUUGUAGUAGUGCAGAGUGUAAACUAAUCUUUCUUCUCUUAAAAUUAUGUUCAUAUUCUAUAUAUAUGCACAGGUCUCAAUACAUUUCGAUUUUUGUUAUGAUCUUAUUUAAUCCAAUGAUUGAUGUAUGUUUUCAAGAGUUUUGCCAUGCAUCCUCUGUGGUUGUGAUCACUUCAUUAACACACUGAAUUUACUAAUGAUAAAUGCAGUAGAGAAAUGAAAAUUUGAGCUCAGAAUGUUGCGCACAUAUCAUUAUCAGGUUUCAGCAUCUCUAUUGUUGUUUUUAGGCUAAUUAUCUUUGAACCGCAUGUUUCCUUUGAAAUAUUUACAAGUUCAUCACUCUUUAUUAUCUGUAGAAUUAGAGGCGCCUUCUUAGUUUUCUGCUUCUUCCCACAAAUUAAGUAAUUCCUUUUCAUAUUUAUUGAUACAAUCGAGUGGUGGCCUGGUAUCUUUUUUUUUCAUGUAAUUUCUGAAGUUGAAGGUGACACUGAUGGGUCAUGCAAGUUGAAGGUGACAUUGACUGAAAGAAUCUUCAGUGUGUUGCCCCAUUUUUGUUAUAAUAUACGACCUUAGAUUUCUUGAUUUAGAAAAAAAUAUAUUCAUGUUCCUAGUUGCCUUCUCAUACGGCGUGUUUGUCAUCCUCAUUGGCAAACUGAUCAUAAUCUCAUUCCGCCGGUGUCAAUUAAUAUAUGUUUGCAUUGUCGCUACCUUACUCUUGCCGGAGAGGUGUACCUGUGUCUGAACUUUGCUGUGCUGAUGAUUUUUUAUGACAUGGAUGUGCUGAAUAAUAUGUGUCAUUCCCAUGCCUGUUUAGAUGAUCGCAGAUUCCUCUCUUAAAUUGGCUCUGACUCGGCAAGAAGAUUUUGGUGGCAGCUUACCGAUUUUACCGACAAACGGCUUACUUCAGAGCUUUAUGCAGAAGGACUCAUGUGGCUAUCAGAAGAAAAUUUGUCCAUUUUCGAACUUCAUGAGUUAUUUCUCUGGCCAUAUUUUAGUUCCCGGCUGUUCCAUCGUUGAACAUAUGAAGCCUCGGCUGGUCGAUUCUUACGAAAGUUUGCGGACUUGUGUUCAGAGUUUUAGAUGUUCGUUUUCAUAGCCUGCAGCUUCAGACAGGUAUUCAUUCAACCCCACAUGACAGAUAUACCGAAUUGAAACACUCUCAUUGUGCUGCUAUGGAGGUUGGUCAUUUGUUCUUUUUUUUAGGCUCUAUUUCCCGCCCAGACUCU